rnacentral:rRNA from 1 species
AGGGCAAGUCUGGUGCCAGCAGCCACGGUAAUUCCAGCUCCAAUAGCGUAUAUUAAAGUUGUUGCAGUUAAAAAGCUCGUAGUUGAAUUUCGGGGUUCUACCGUUGGUCGGGCUUUGUCUGUACUGGUGUGUAGAAUUUCUACCUUCUGGGGAACCAUCAUGCUAUUAAUUUAGCGUGGUGGGAAACCAGGACCUUUACCUUGAAAAAAUUAGUGUGUUCAAAGCAGGCUUAUGUCUGAAUACAUUAGCGUGGAAUAAUAGAAUAGGACGAUGGUCCUGUUUUGUUGGUUUCUGAAUCACCGUAAUGAUUAAUAGGGAUAGUAGGGGGCAUUAGUAUUCAAUUGUCAGAGGUGAAAUUCUUGGAUUUAUUGAAGACUAACUUCUGCGAAAGCAUUUGCCAAGGAUGUUUUCAUUAAUCAAGAACGAAAGUUAGGGGAUCGAAGACGAUCAGAUACCGUCGUAGUCUUAACCAUAAACUAUGCCGACUAGGGAUCGGACGAUGUUAAUUUUUCUUGACUCGUUCGGCGCCUUACGGGAAAC